UAAACAACUUUAUUAACAUAGUCAAGCAGUGAUUAACAUUCACAUCUAUUAUGUCACAUCAUACAAAUGUAAAUACAAAAUUACUACAGUACAAUAUAUAUUCUCUGCAUGAUCCAAAAUAUUUGGUGGCCCCAAAAAACUCUCUUUAAAAUUCAGCAGCUUAUCAAAAAUUAAAACCGUAUUCUAUUUAAAAUGAAGAUCUGUUAGCACAGAGUUAGACUUCAAGAAAUAUCAAUUUAGUACAGCUUGAGAAGUUGCAGGAGGGUAUGUUUGAAGGACACAUUCUAACAUAGUGUGGCAGGUACAGGAAACAUCAGAUUUAAAGCUUUUAAGCAUAACUCAUACAACCUAAGUUGUCAGCAGAAAGAUCCAGUUAUUUAUAAUUAAAGCUAAAACUACUACAUUAUUGCACCCAAUAUUAUUAACAUGAAUAUUAAGUGUAAAACUUUUUUAUAACAUGAAGUGAUUAACCACGUUUAAACACCUCUUCUCACAGAUAAUCUAUUAAAUAAAAUUAUACAGUAUUGUCUAAUUAUUAUCUCCAUAAAAAUUGUCCAAUCUUAAUCUUGUUAAAUAUCCACAGAGGAAAAGAGUAAUGAAGUGAAUGGUGAAAGUACAGUGGAACCCCUUUAUGAGGCCGGGAGUAGGAGGGGGCCAACAUUGCCUUGGAGGCUAACCAUGUUACAGAAUUAAGACUUGUAAAAUAGUAAAUUUGGCUUAAUAUCAAGCCAUAGUACAAGGGGAUCCUAUGAUAAACAAAAAUUCUAAUAAAAGGGAAAACAACAUUUUCCUAGUGAUAUAAUGCUUGGCAAAUUGAUUAAGUUUGAUUUAAAAAUGUACAAGAGGUGAAAAAAAUCAUUUAACUUCCCUUAAAUUCGUGCAUACACUGAAAAAUACAUCCUGGGAUACAAAUGAGAAUAAACAGUUGCUAUAAUUUAAAUGCAUAUCUUAAAAUUAAUAUGUAUAGUAACCAAGAAUAAAGAUAAAGAACUUUAUACAUGUAAUACCAAUGGAGGAAAGAUCUACAUAAGACUGAAAAAAUUAGUCACAAGUCACCUGAAGAGUGUACAAGUGAAUGAAACUUUUAUGUAAAAUGUAAUUUUUAAGAGGCAUUAGAAAUAUCAUAUUUAAUACAGUAUGAAAGAUACUAAGUAGAUAUACAAUGCUCUUGCAUGGUAUUACUACUAGAUAAUGUCACACAGUUCUUUAUUGAUCUGAUUUUUCAUCUAGACUAUUCCAGGCCUUUAACAAUCUGAAGACCAGUUAUCUUAAAGAUUUUAAUGCCUACACUUCAAUAACAAUACUACUAGCAAGUUAGUGCUUCCUCCUUGUACUAUUUGCAAAAAGUAAUUCAAGCAAAGCUGUAUUUUAAGGUACUAUUAAAGGAAGGAUUUAAAUUGCAGUUAUGCAUGAUACAGUCUUCGCUUGGGAAGAAUGUUUUUGCACCGUUAUCUGUUAAUACAUUCAAUAUGAAUAUAAAUUAUACAAAUAAAAAAAAACCACACCUCCACUUUUUUUUUUCCUUUAUGGCAAAAUAUUUGUUAAAUUUAAACUAAAGUGUUUGAGACAAAUUCUGGCAUUUCAGUUAUGCAGAGUAAUUUAAUACAGAAUAGAAAAAUGUCCACAUUGCUAUCUUGAGGGUUUGAAGAAAAGGAGGACCAAAUUAAAUUCAUUUUCAAGAGAAAUCUACAAGAGGGAUUUACACCCCCCUGGUCAGCUGGAAUAAGGACGGGAAAACCAGACUACAUGGGAAGAGAAAUAACACUAAAAAACAAAGACUAUAAGUAUAAUGAUCCUUUAUAAGCAUAUGUCACCAAAGCAAACAGGAUACAAGAGUAUUCACCUGAGAUAAAACUUGUAUCUGAAUAUUUUGUAACUGAGUAGACAAAGCAUUUCAAUAGAGGAAAGUCAGCGGAAAUUAUUUUAAAAUAUACAUCUGAUACUAUUUUACAAUAUAUGCAAUUUAAGCAAUUCAGAUCAAUGAAAAAGUCUUAACAAAAAAAUCACAGUGUUUAUCAAUAUGUUAAUUACAAAAUGUAUGCUACUUAUUUUGUUUUAAAAGAUGUAAUGGCUUGGUUAAGUGUUUUAAAAUCUAUUUUUCUGAAAUCUAACUUGCAUCACAAAAUCAAGUAGCAAUAAUGUAAAGCAUCAGAACUGGCUCUUAAAGAUUAUUUACAUAUUGAUUAUUUGGGAAAUAACCAAAAAAUAUAAAAAAGUGAUUUUUU